rnacentral:rRNA from 1 species
UACGAAGGGGGCUAGCGUUGCUCGGAAUCACUGGGCGUAAAGGGUGCGUAGGCGGGUCUUUAAGUCAGGGGUGAAAUCCUGGAGCUCAACUCCAGAACUGCCUUUGAUACUGAGGAUCUUGAGUUCGGGAGAGGUGAGUGGAACUGCGAGUGUAGAGGUGAAAUUCGUAGAUAUUCGCAAGAACACCAGUGGCGAAGGAGGCUCACUGGCCCGAUACUGACGCUGAGGCACGAAAGCGUGGGGAGCAAACAGG